rnacentral:misc_RNA from 1 species
UAAUAAGUGUUUUUAUGGCCACUUUUAAAUCCAUAUCCACCUUGUGUUGCAAUGUCAGUCGAGUCUUCUUCAUGGAGAUCGCCAAACAUCAACCAUUUUAUUUGUUGGUAAACUCUUUGUCCUGAUAAAGGAUAUAUAUAACAAUUCAAAUAUA